rnacentral:sRNA from 1 species
AUGGGUUUUCCCCAACCCGUAUACCCGCGCAACCCGCGACUUCCAAUCGGCAGGUUUUCGCCAUUUUCGUUCAAUUUUCCGACGAAUUGAGUCAAGGACCUAAAACAAAGCCCAAGAGGUAAUUGAGGCAUUGGAACAAGUUUGAAGGUCGAAUUGGAAACACCCAAUUCUAGGGUUCUUCACGGUUUUGGUGAAAUUGAAGCACUUCCAGGCCAAAUUGGCCUUGGCCUCAGGCGCUAAUCGUCAUGACGCCUUGAUGUACGGUGCUAGGGAGUUGUGGGCGAACUCCAGGUUCAAGUUAGCAGAGCUUUGGUGGCCACGAGGAAUCCAACGGUGUUCUGACAGAAUUCACAAAAGUAGGACUCACCCUCGGGUGUGUUAUCUUAGUAAUUGGAAAUUUUUUUAAAGCUUCCGAACUGUGUAAAUGGUUACGUCACUCUCACGUGACGGCCAGCAUGCCCUCCUUCGGGACGGGGUGUGUC